UAGGGAAUCUUCCGCAAUGGACGAAAGUCUGACGGAGCAACGCCGCGUGAGUGAAGAAGGAUUUCGGUUCGUAAAACUCUGUUGUUAGGGAAGAAAAAAUGUAUAGUAACUAUAUACAAAAGAGACGGUACCUAACCAGAAAGCCACGGCUAACUACGUGCCAGCAGCCGCGGUAAUACGUAGGUGGCAAGCGUUGUCCGGAAUUAUUGGGCGUAAAGCGCGCGCAGGUGGUUUAGAAAGUCUGAUGUGAAAGCCCACGGCUCAACCGUGGAGGGUCAUUGGAAACUAAUAAACUUGAGUGCAGGAGAGAAAAGUGGAAUUCCUAGUGUAGCGAUGAAAUGCGUAGAGAUUAGGAGGAACACCGGUGGCGAAAGCGGCUUUUUGGCCUGCAACUGACACUGAGGCGCGAAAGCGUGGGGAGCGAACAGG
rnacentral:rRNA from 1 species